UAAGCGGAGGAAAAGAAACUAACUAGGAUUCCCUUAGUAACGGCGAGUGAACCGGGAUGAGCUCAAAUUUGAAAUCUGGCGUCUUUCAGGCGUCCGAGUUGUAAUCUAUAGAGGCGUUUUCCGCGCCGGACCGCGUCCAAGUCUCUUGGAAUAGAGUAUCAAAGAGGGUGACAAUCCCGUACUUGACGCGACAACCGGUGCUCUGUGAUACGUUCUCAAUGAGUCGAGUUGUUUGGGAAUGCAGCUCUAAAUGGGUGGUAAAUUCCAUCUAAGGCUAAAUAUUGGCGAGAGACCGAUAGCGAACAAGUACCGUGAGGGAAAGAUGAAAAGCACUUUGGAAAGAGAGUUAAACAGCACGUGAAAUUGUUAAAAGGGAAACGAUUGAAGUCAGUCGUGUGGGAAGUAUUCAGCCGUCUCUGGCGGUGUAUUUGCUUCUCACGGGUCAACAUCAGUUUGAUCCGGUAGAAAAAGGCGGGAAGAAGGUGGCACCCUCGGGUGUGUUAUAGCUUCCUGUCAUAUGUGCCGGACCAGACUGAGGAACGCAGCUUGCAGCAAUGCCGGGGUUCGCCCACGUACAAGCUUAGGAUGUUGACAUAAUGGCUUUAAACGACCCGUCUUGAAACACG
rnacentral:rRNA from 1 species